rnacentral:rRNA from 1 species
GGAAGCCACCGCUGGCGGAAAAGCUUCGGCCUUUGUCCCCAUUGCCCGCCGCGGCCACUCCCUCCCGCUGCCCCCGAUGAUCCCGCACUCCAUGUGACCCCCUCCUCCUCUGCCAGAUUCGGCCGCGGGUGAUUCUCAGGGCCGAAUCAUCGAGCGCCGCGCAUGAGCAGCUGGAGAUUCGUGGAGGGCUCCAACGUCUGGGUGAAUUUGGUGGCGGUCCCUGCCAAUUUCGCCAUCGCCGUGGUGGAAUUCGCGCUGUGGAGCUCCGCCUGGUGCUUCCUGGCCAUCUUCUCCGCCAACUUCUGAGCCAGAAUCUCACGCUGUUUCUGAUUCCCAACCUGUCGGUGCAGAUUGGAUUAGGAUUGCUGUAAUUGGGGCUGAAAUGAUUUUUUAGCUGAUUUUUAAGAGGGGAGGUCAUUUUGACUGGAUUGGGUUUGAGGAUGGAGGAGAGGCUGUAUGAUGCCGGCGAUGGCUCCGCUGGCAAUCCGAGCGCUGAGGAUGCCGCUGGCAAUCCGAGAGGUGAGGACGUCGCUGCCAACUCGAGAGGCGAGGACGACUUCAGGAGCUGCUGUGGGGACGAGGAGGAGUGGGAGGACACGGAGGAGUCCUUCAUGGCCGGCGUCUCCGAAGCGGAGCUCGACGAGACUUCAGUGCGGCUCUUCUUCAAGGGUGUGUCGAGCUCGGACGUGGAUGGGAAGAAGCUGUCCGGGAUCGGCGUGGUGAUGGAGAGGACACCUGGGGUGCCUCUUCACAGGGUGCAGAAGAAGCUGGAUUUCUAUGUGGAUGAGCUGGUGGCUGAGCACUUGGCACUCAUGGAUGGCCUGUUGGUGGCAUUGCAGAAGGGCAUACGCAAGAUCUUCGCCUUCACUAAUUCAGAGAAGCUAUACUUCCAGAUUGCAGAAGCUGAAAUUCUUGAAGACCAGCUUUUGGUAGCUUUAGGACACAGGAUUCUUGAACUGGUUGAGAAGCUGGAGGAUUUUGAUCUAAUAUUGCUUCCUAGCUUUGAACUUGAGAGGCCAUUGAAGUUGGCCAAAGAAGCAAUAGGCAUCGUGUAUGUAUCUCCCUAUGAGGUUGCCACCUGCCCGCUAUGCUGCGAGGAAAGACGAGGUUCUCAUAUGAUCAAGGUCGGCUGUUCCCACAAAUUUUGCUACAGUUGCUUGAUUGUGUAUGUUGAAGGCAGGCUGCAUGCCUCGAAGCUGCCUAUUAGAUGCCCACAGUUAAGGUGUAAAUAUCAUAUUUCGGCUGGUGAGUGUAAAUCAUUCCUUCCGGUGAGCAGCUAUGAGUCCCUGGAGAGGGCUUUCGCGGUGGGCGGCAGCACCUAUGACAUGGAGGGGUUCUAUUGCCCCUAUCCAAACUGUUCGGUUUCGUUAGACCUCAGUCAGCACUUCUCCAGGGCAGGCUCGUCCAGUCAGUCGGACCUCAAUUGCAUCGAGUGCCCGGAAUGCCACAGAGAUAUCUGUAUCAACUGUGGAGUGCCAUGGCACAUCAUGAUGGGGUGUGAUGAGUACCAGAGCCUGCCUGUCGAGGAAGGAGGUGCAGGGGACCUAUCUUUGCAUCGGCUAGCACAAAACAAUAGUUGGAGGCGAUGUCAGAGAUGUCGACGGAUGAUUGAACUAACGCAGGGCUGCUUCCACAUGACUUGCUGGUGUGGCCAUGAGUUCUGCUACUCCUGUGGCGCCGAGUACAACAACGGCGUACAGGCAUGCCAGUGCGUAUUCUGGGACGAAGACAACGCUGAGCCCUCGGCGGCGCAGUCCUGCCAGGCAUCUGAGAUCUGGGCGUGGGACACCUUCGACUGCAUGCCCACGGCCGCCGACGGCUACUCGGAGCAGGAGCGGGCGCAGCUGGCGCUCAUCCAGCGGUUCCUGGCGGGGGGUUUCAGCCUGAGCGGCGACCACCACCACCUGAGCCAGCAGUCGUCGCCGCCCCGCUGCGCGGCAGACUCGUACAUCGUCGACACCAUGAAGGACCUCCACCAGCUGCCGUGGCUCGAGCGGUUCGUGUCGGUGAUGAGCGACACCUACAACGACGACUACAUCCAAUGAAUGAAGAGUUUAAAACUUGAAUCAUAGAUAUAGCAUUAGAAAGAAGAUAUGAGAAUGCCGCAUAUACCGAUGACUUCCUGUUCGGAAUAAUGUGUUCCCCUGACAAAAAAUCCACCCUGUCGAAAAUUGGUUGACACUGGGAAAACAAAAUGAUACUUCCACCUUUGUUUGUUUGUUUUGUUUGGCUGCCCCUCCAUUAUUCAUUCUCUUUUGGUAUCUUCUGCAACAGCAAAGAAGCUUGGUUACCU